CAAUUAUUUUAAAUUCUGGAGCCCAAAAUCUUCUGUAAGAUGUUAUAUUGUGUAAACCAGUGUGACUACAAAACAAUUUUAUCUUUUUGUUGACAUUAUAGGUGAGCUGUUAAGCCAGCCCCGACCUGAGGGACUUACUGAGAUGAUCUGCCCCAUGAAUGGCUCGGAGCGGGUCAACGUGGCACUAGUUUACCCUCCAACCCCGACUGUGGUCAGCCCCAGUCAUAAAUGACAUUGACUGCACCUGCACUUACCUGCCUGUGAAUGGCCUCCACAAACCGCUGCACCUCUUUUCCCUACAUCUUACAUCACACAUAUACACACAAACAAGUAAACGUGUGUGUUUGUGUGUGCAAAAGCGUGCUCCCGCUUUCUUAUUGCCUCUGUCCAUCAUCCCACAUCUGAGGGGGUCGAUGGACAACUGGAUACCCGACAAGUGCAAAGAAGGUUCAUAAUGGAAGCUUGCCAUUGGGAGGCCAUCAUAUCAGGACAUACAUGCAGGUGUUCAGCUCCGACUGCCAACACAUGAACUGAAAGUAUUAGAAACUGUUGCACUGACAUCCUGUUUUUGUCUAUGUACACCUAAAGUUUUUUCAGUCACCCUGAGCCUUCCUCAACAUUUUAAGCCUUUCAGUUCAACAAGAGAUCAACUGUUCCUCUGCAAGUUCUUGGAAGUUCCCAUUUGUUGCAUCUCUUGGAUUGAAACUACAUCUUGUGCUGCUGGGUGCCAAGUGGUUAAGCUGACAGAAAAUGGAAGUGGAAGGACACUGUUUCCCCUCAGACAUAAGACAGACUUUGAUUAGUGAGGUCAGAUGUUAGAUUGAUGCUUUAAGUGAUAUUGUACUUUAAAUGCAUGCCUCUAAAAUUCAAAAAGGAUUACAAAAUGACAUACAUGGAUAAAUGCACUAGCUCAGGCCUCUUAAGAGGUUUAGUCGUAUCAAAAAUGAAAGGACAGAAUUGUUGGGCAUAAAUCUUUUAGAUCCAUUUAUUGCUUUCCUGCUCACAGACAGACACAUUGUGUUAGUUUUGAAUAGAUAUAAUCAGACAUUUCAAAUAAUUUUAGUGAAACGUGCAGCCAAAGAUAUAAAAAUGUUUCGCUGAACCACUGACACAAGCUUCUAUCUAUCUAUCUAUCUAUCUGUGUCUGUCGUUCAUUCUAUCCAUCUAUCUACCUAUGUUUUUUUCAUUCUUUCAGUCUGCAUAUUUUUAUACCCACACGUGUGCUUAUACAGAUAAUCAUACUCCAUAGCAUGAGGGAUAUUAUUUUAAGCACAUAAAUUCAAAUAGCAGUUAUAGUAUAAUAUCAGUUAUAUUAUCAGUGACAGAUUGUCACAUUGUUUCUUGCACAUGUUCAAACUUUCCUAUAAGAUGCAGUUUUGGAUACAUACGAGCAGGAAUAUUGAUGUACAGUCACAGAUGUACAGAAAUGGUACAAGUACAAUAAUUCAGCCAAGGAUGUUUUUACUCUUGAGGUAGAUUGUGUAAGCAUAUCUGCUUAACUCUAAGGUUAUUUGAGAUAUAUAUAUAUAUAUAUAUAUAUAUAUAUAUAUAUAUAUAUAUAUAUAUAUAUAGUUCACUGAACAUGCUCUUCAAAAGCAGUGUCUGAAUCAUAUUGUACAUAUUUGUCUAAAAAGUGCACAUUAGAACAAAAGAAGCAAGACUUGUUUUAUAAGAACUGAUUCAUACUUAGAAACUGUUGUGCAUUGUUUCAGUGUUUCUUUUUGGAGAGGAGAGAAUCUGCAAUAUGUGUAAUGUUUUGUAAACAGUUGAAAAAAGUUUGUACAUAUUUUAUUUUUUUAAGCUAACAAGCUGUCACCAGUAUCCCACAUUAUUUACUGUGCAUUGUGCAAGGCUACUGUGCUCAAUGUAAAAUUCACAAACUGUUUUCUAAGUUAUAAUGAAAUUAUUCUUUCUCAUUGUACGACCACAAAAACCACCAAAUAUAAAGACUGGUUUCCAUGUUGUUGUAC
ensembl:lncRNA